rnacentral:tRNA from 2 species
GGGGGUACAGCUCAGGGGUAGAGCAUUUGACUGCAGAUCAAGAGGUCCCCGGUUCAAGUCCGGGUGCCCCCU